CAUCAAAUAUCUUUCAAAUUAUUGGUUGAUUCUAUAUAUUCACGAAUUAAAAAUUCAAAAAAAAAAUUACCCAUGUAUUUUGAUUUAUUCGGUUUAUAAUCAAUUGGUUUAUGAGCUAAACCAUAACAAAAUAAUCCAGCUCUGUUAACCAGACAAGAACCAAUCAUUUUUAAUCUCACUGUCCUCUUCGUCGAAUACUCGAAUGAUCAAUACAGAGCAAACGGAACAGAAUAAACCCAGAGAAAAUAUCCAAUCCGACUUAUUUUAUUUUCACUCUAUCAAGCAUUAUAUAUUAUAUAUUCCAUUCCAUCUCUACUCUAUCUAAUUGAAUUUCUUAAAAAUGUUUCGGUUUAUUUUUCUUCCUGCUUACGCAGAGAUCUGUGAUCCAUCGUUACGGAGGGUUGGAUCACUAGAUUCACUACCGUCCCAGUUCCAUCAUCAAAGUUGAUAGGUUUUGAAGUUGCAAGAUGUUUAUCGGUUUAUAGUCUCCUACAAAGGAUAGUCGUUGUCUUAUACACCGGAUGCAGCAGGAAUUUGGACAAAUUUGGCACUUCUCUCUGUUGUAACAAAUAUGUUGCUCCCAACGUUACAGGUGUGAUCAGGUACCAUGUCGAACUAUGCUUGCAACUACGGCAACGAUAGUGACAUAUGUGGUCUUCAACAGGGAGAUGACCAAGCUCACUAAGCAAGAUGCUGCUGCUCUGGCUCUCGAGGGAGUUCAGUUUUUGGUUUUACACUUCAUUUGACCCAUGUUUAGAACUGUAACAAGCACUAAAUGUUUCUCAAACGUACUAUAGAUAAAUGGCGGUGGAGGGCAAGAACUACCAAGAUGUCGGGAAAAGCUUGCUGGCAAGGAAUAGGUUUUUCAGAUACGUGCCGCUCCAUACAAUUUUAUCCCUAACUACCGUGUCUGCGGUCAGUGACAAUAGCUUCUUUAGCACCCACACCGAGAGUAUCAGCAGCUUCAAAGCUUCAGUUAUUGGAGGGGAAGGUAGAGAAACUACAGCUUCUGCAAGCAACACGGUUCCAGCGGCUAAGAUAGAAAUCGGAGGCGAUGAAGCAAAUCUGGCAGGUUUUCAAGGCAAAGAUAAUAGCCGCAAACGCCCCUAAGUGAUAGUUUCAAUUCCAUCAAUGUUCAUACAUUUAAGUUUUUUAAAUUCUUAUGUUUUUAUCUAUUUUGAGCUUUGGUUUUUCCCUUUUAUUUUCGGCAAAAAACCUCCCACCAGAAGGAUAGUAACUAAGAUUUUAUAUAAUAAAGGCAGCGUUGACAGGAUGUUCAAAA